UUUGAUAAAUCUCCCCCAUUGGGAUUAUAACCAUCAGGUCGUUCUAAUCAUUCAAUACCCUACUUCAUCCUUCAAAGAAGGUAUUACAUAGGAAUGUAACAGUAGUGGGUGCAGACCAGUGGUGUACAUGUCAUAGAGGCAAUCCACACUACUCAUAUGGGGCCACCCAGCCAGGCACACAAAGUAGGGCAAGAGCUGGUGAUAAGACCUGUGGGUAGUCGCACAUCACUGCCAUCAGCUGCUGUGUUUACAUGAACAGACAGUCAGAACAGAGAAGAGAUGAUAGGGUGGACUAUAUAUUAGACAGACCAGAGUAGAAGACUGCAGGAACUGGCUGGAGCAGGGCAUUCAUGAACACCCUGGCGUGUUUACUGUAUAGAAAGUGAGUGCAGAAGCUGAGCUUGAUCCAUAGCGG